UAAACCUAUAAAUAGGGGACAGAAAACUGAACAAUGCUGUCAAAGAAAUAUUGCUAAUACAAGACUUCUACCGUUAUGGGGAGCAACAACAUGGAUGAGGCCUUUUUUCUUGACAUACCAGAUUCCGCACUAGAAGCUUUAAAUUUUAAACAAGAUGGAAGUCAAAACCACCCGAUAGGUUUUCCUGAGAUUACAGAAGAAAACUUAUCAAGCAUUAUUCCUCAAGAAGAAAUGUUGAAGGGGAGCUCGCUUAAAGGGGCCAAGAAAUUUUCCUCUGAGGCAGCUGCAGUCGGAAGCAAGGGUAUUAAGCUCACCGAUUUUGAACAGCCCUGCACGUC